AAGUCGUAACAAGGUUUCCGUAGGUGAACCUGCGGAAGGAUCAUUAACACGUAUCCAACGUUAAACAACCCUGUGAACUUUCACACGCUCUUGUAGCCCAGGAGGAACAGCAAUCCCGGUAAAUCAAUGGCGGAAAAGUUUUGAUUCGGGACCUCUGUCCAAAAGGUAUCAAGUUACAAUCGAGCUAGGAGCAGUAAGGAUAACGCAUCACGGUUGCCAGAGGUCGAUCACCGGCCGGCAGACAUGUCACAGGGCUUUACGCCCCUUCAUUCACCCCUUGCCUAAUCAAGCCCCGCGGAAACGCCGGGCAAAAAAAUCUGAACAACUGUUAACAAUGGAUAUCUUGGUUCUC
rnacentral:misc_RNA from 1 species